rnacentral:rRNA from 1 species
AGUGAGCGGCAGAGCUCAAUUUGAAGCUGGCCCCUCCGGGGUCCGCAUUGUAAUUUGCAGAGGAUGCUUCGGGCACGGCCUCCAUCUAAGUGCUCUGGAAUGGGCUGUCAGAGAGGGUGAGAAUCCCGUCUGGGAUGGGGAGACCGGGUCCAUGUGAAGCUCCUUCGACGAGUCGAGUUGUUUGGG